rnacentral:rRNA from 1 species
GAUGAACGCUGGCGGCGUGCCUAAUACAUGCAAGUCGAGCGAACGGACGAGAAGCUUGCUUCUCUGAUGUUAGCGGCGGACGGGUGAGUAACACGUGGAUAACCUACCUAUAAGACUGGGAUAACUUCGGGAAACCGUAGCUAAUACCGGAUAAUAUUUUGAACCGCAUGGUUCAAAAGUGAAAGACGGUCUUGCUGUCACUUAUAGAUGGAUCCGCGCUGCAUUAGCUAGUUGGUAAGGUAACGGCUUACCAAGGCAACGAUGCAUAGCCGACCUGAGAGGGUGAGAGGCCACACUGGAACUGAGACACGGUCCAGACGACUACGGGAGGCAGCAGUAGGGAAUCUGCCGCAAUGGGCGAAAGACUGAAGGAGAAACGCAGCGUGAGUGAUGAAGGGCUUCGGAUAGUAAAACUCUGUUAUUAGGGAAGAACAUAUGUGUAAGUAACAGUGCACAGCUUGACGGUACCUAAUCAGAAAGACACGGCUAGCUACGUG